rnacentral:tRNA from 1 species
UGUGCUGGAAUCGAACCCACAGUGUUCCGUUUACCGGGCGGAUGCCAUGUCCACUAGGCUAC